rnacentral:lncRNA from 1 species
UGAGGAAUGCCAUGCUUGCCAAUACCGAAAGUUGGGGAUGCAUUUUCAAUAGCUUUCAUGAGUUGGAAGGAGAGUAUUUGCAACACUUGAAGACAAAAAUGGGCCACCCCCGUGUUUACGGAGUUGGCCCAUUGAGCCUACUUGCUUCCGCCGCUAAUGGUGGAAACUUGGAACGGGCCAACCCGAACACAGACACGAGGAAAGAUAACGUGCUCGCAUGGCUUGAUGGGUGCCCGGAGGGGUCUGUGCUGUAUGUUUGCUUUGGAAGUCAGACGUUGCUAAAUAAGCAGCAGAUGGAGGCCUUGGCUUCUGGGCUGGAACAGAGUGGAGCUCGGUUUGUGUGGGUUGUGAAAACGAGCUUGGCCGGGAAGGUGAAUGAUGGGUCCGGAGUCGUACCAGAUGGGUUUGAGGAAAGGGUUGCUGGGAGGGGAUUGCUGAUAAAGGGCUGGGCGCCGCAGGUGAUGAUCCUCGGCCACCGGGCGGUUGGAGGGUUUCUCAGCCACUGUGGGUGGAACUCUGUGCUGGAAGGGAUUGUGGGUGGGGUUUUGAUAUUGAGCUGGCCUAUGAAUGCUGACCAGUUUGUAAAUGCCAAGCUAUUGGUUGAGUACAUGGGCGUGGGCGUGAAGGUGUGUGAGGGUGCCGAUGGGGUACCUGACUCGGCCGAGUUGGGAAAGGCGAUUGCUGAGUCAAUAAGUGGGGAAUCACCGGAGAAGGUGAGAGCGAAGGAGCUGAGGGACAAGGCAGUUGCGGCUGUGGGAGAUGGUGGGAGCUCUUCAAAGGAUUUGGACGAGCUUGUGAAAGAGUUGGGUCAAAUUAAAGUGAGGUGAACAGACUAGCCCAUGAAAGAUCGAUUUUGGAGUGUCAAUAGCAGCUCCGUAAAACAAAUAGGAAUCGGGGAAUAAAGCAAUGGUUAUUUUCUAUUACCGUUUUAUAGAUUUCGUAUAAAAGUCCAGGGGAAUGUUCAACUUUUCCAGAAAUAAAUAUUAUUCGGAUCACACUGAAUGAAUUGAAUGGUAUAUUGUUCUUGCCUGUGAGGCAGGAGAGCAUGAUGAUAAAUUUACCUUAGAACUCAAGGAAGGAACUAGCUUCCCCUUGCUGGUUGUUGAUGGGGCAACAUGGUUAGCCGGUACUAAGUGAAAGCACCACAUGGUCUUCACCAAGAACAUCCUUGAUCCUAAGUUGUAAACUCUGCAAAGAGAGUAAACAAGUAAUUUGAGAAUUCUGCUGCAACAUGGUUGUGCCAGGAAAAUGAAAAUUAUGGAUAUAACUCGGGGUAGGGUGGACGACAACAUUACCUGAAAAUGGGAUGAGAGUUCGUUUAAGAGGAAGAAAACAAAGGAUUAAUCAGGACGGAAGCCAAAUUUGAUCAUCUCAGCAAGGAGUUCUGCUGCUGAAUGGAAAUCCCAUCAGAUAACUUCAUACAGAAAGAGUAUUUUGCUUCAGUUAUACGACACCUUUUGCACACUCUGUUAAUUAAGGCGCUAUAAUCUCUGAUGGAGAUUUGAAGUCCUUUUGCCCACGGCCAUAUAUCCAUCACCCUUUGCACAAUGAGCUUUUAUUAACGUGGUAUAGGCAACUUUUGUCAAAUUGGUAUUGCUGGCAUCGAGAGAAACCAGUAGCCUGUCAGCAUCCUCUAGGUCACCAUAUGCACAAAGGCCACUGACAGUCCAAGCAAAGCAAGUUUCCAACAACCAUGUCUGCAAGAACCCACAUCUUAGUCUUUCCCUCUUUCAAAGCAGAGCAUUUGCCUUCCAUGUUCCGCCACUACAGAGAAUCGGAGCCCGACUCAGAGCGUUUGAGGAAUAACGUGCUAGCCAAUACCGAAAGUUGGGGACGCAUUUUUUAUAGCUUUCAUGAGUUGGAAGGAGAGUAUUUGCAACACUUGAGGACAAAAAUGGGCCACCCCCGUCUUUACGGAGUUGGCCCAUUGAACCUACUUGCUUCCGCCGCUAAUGGUGGAAACUUGGAACGGGCCAACCCAAACAGAGAGACACGGGGAAAGAUAACGUGCUCGCAUGCCUUGAUGGGUGCCCGGAUGGAUCUGUGCUGUAUGUUUGCUUUGGAAGUCAGACGUUGCUCAAUAAGCAGC